AAAAGAUGGUGGCCGCGUCUAUACAGGAUGGAGAGGCAGUUUGGUUUGGCUGCGACGUUGGAAAAUGUUUUAACAGCAAGCUAGGCAUCAACGAUUUGAAGAU